ensembl:lncRNA
UUUGCAGACUACUUCCUGUUCAUUCCAUUUUACUAAAAACAAGAGAGAAGGUGUCACGACUGCCCGUAACAGGAGAGACACUCGCUGAUGGAUAUUACAAGGUUUAAUUUAAUAGGGCAAUACAAGAUAAUCGUAAGGGACCGGCAGGGUCAAAAACAACAACAACAACAACAACAGCAGCAACAUAGACAUACCAGAGGGGAGUCGGACUGAAGAAAGGUCGGUACACGGGAGAGCAAAAACCAGUGAUUAUGGAGUCUGACAGUGAUCAGAGAGGACCAAUCCACAGGCAGCAAACCAGUGAGGAACAGGACAAAGACACACAAGUGUACUACGCUUCACUGAACAUUCCCAAAGAUGCAAGCAGACGGAUCAAGAGGAACCCCCCAAUGAACCCUGACUUCAGUUUGUACAGUGAGCUCAAUAAGGCCAAAAAGGAACAAGAUUAGGGCUUUAGAUGUGAUUAAUACGUCCAUCAAGAUUUCACUUAGUUUUUUCUUAAAUUUGUUCUUGAGAAAGGUCCUAAGAAAAAGUCUACGUCAGAUUCAUGAUGUGUUCUUCAACCGCAGAACACACAUGGUUCACACUUUUGUGCUCUUGAGUGUGUGUAGAUUCUGUUCUUACCAAAAAACAAAGAAAACAAGGUGGGCUUUAAGAAGAAAUUUCUUCUUACGAAUGGUUGGUGAAUGAGACCCAUUGUUAGCCAGGAGAAUUAAUGUUAAAUCCACAUGUAAUCUUUUCUGCAACAUUAACAAUGGAAGGAAUUUUUGCUUUUUUUUUUGGUCUUGCUGAAUUGAAGUGGAACAUAGAGAGGCUAUUUCUUUAAAUGCUUUAUACAUAUAAAAUGUGGCUUUUUUCCAGGCACAUUUAUUACUAAAGGCAGAUUUUGCUCACUGGCUGAUUUAUAGUUUAAAGCCAAGGCACCCUAUUUAGACUUUAUAACACUUCACCAAUUCUCUUAAAUUCUAUGUUCAAUUUUUCAGUUUUUUUAUUUGAUCUUUUUAUUCUUUCUUACAUUGCUUUGUUAAUGCCUUGUGCUUUGUGUGCUGCUUCAUGUAAAAUGCUAAUUAAAAGUUUACAAAAUGUAUGAAGCUGAUUAAGCAAUGCUUUUCCAAUUUUAUACGUCCUGAAGAAGCGUUGAAUUAGGAUUCAAAGCAUAAUGUCUGUAGCAUCAUGGAGCUAUGGUCUGUUUGUAGACCUUCAAUGCAAACUGAUGGAGC